rnacentral:tRNA from 1 species
CGGAGGGUUGGCCGAGUGGUCUAAGGCGGCAGACUUAAGAUCUGUUGGACGGUUGUCCGCGCGAGUUCGAACCUCGCAUCNGG